rnacentral:misc_RNA from 1 species
CAAACAACAGCUUUUAGCUUGCUUCUUGAUUGAUUGUGGCGAUCCCCUUCUUCUGUUCUUGACUCGUACCUUCAGGUAAGCCGGACUCAAGGAGGCUUCAAAGCCAGAUCUUAUAAUUUAAUAUAGAAAGGAGACCUCUCCAUCUCAGGUUAUCCCAUUUUUUGCUUGAAUCCGGCCGUCAACUUCUUCAACUGCUGAUGCCGCUGACCUAUAUGGUGUGCUUUUCAUUCCAAUUCCUCUUUUUCCGAAUACAUGACUUACAUAGAAGGACAACAUUCUUGGACGACAAUAGAUUGGUUCGGAUGCUAUAAGUGG